rnacentral:lncRNA from 1 species
UUCCGUUCUAUGAAUAUAUUCAACCAGCUGACAGAAUUUGGAAAAUAUUCAUCCCGAAAAUGUAUCAUGACGGAUCGAGCUCCUACAACUAUUUCAAUUUAUUCACCCUCGAAUAUCCACUCGGACUAGGCACCGAAAGACGUUCUUUGAAAGCUUUCAUCCUGAAAGCUUUCAUUCAAUAGGUGAAUCAAUCUCCCUGAUAAUUCAUAGUUUUCAUUCACAGACGAACAGUCACUCCUUAUCUGUGGAAUGUAAAGAUGGCUAAAUAAAACAUAUGUGAAGCUAAAAUUUCCAAAUUUGUUUUUAUAAUACUAUUAUUACAUUCAAGCUAAGCUCACUAACAUAAAUCAUAUGGAAAGAACAAUCGAAAAUAUAAGAGUUCCAUAUACGACAAAC